GGUGAUACGGAGGGUGCAAGCGUUAAUCGGAAUUACUGGGCGUAAAGCGCACGCAGGCGGUUUGUUAAGUCAGAUGUGAAAUCCCCGCGCUUAACGUGGGAACUGCAUUUGAAACUGGCAAGCUAGAGUCUUGUAGAGGGGGGUAGAAUUCCAGGUGUAGCGGUGAAAUGCGUAGAGAUCUGGAGGAAUACCGGUGGCGAAGGGGGCCCCCUGGACAAAGACUGACGCUCAGGUGCGAAAGCGUGGGGAGCAAACAGGAUUAGAUACCCUGGUAGUCCACGCUGUAAACGAUGUCGACUUGGAGGUUGUGCCCUUGAGGCGUGGCUUCCGGAGCUAACGCGUUAAGUCGACCGCCUGGGGAGUACGGCCGCAAGGUUAAAACUCAAAUGAAUUGACGGGGGCCCGCACAAGCGGUGGAGCAUGUGGUUUAAUUCGAUGCAACGCGAAGAACCUUACCUACUCUUGACAUCCACGGAAUUCGCCAGAGAUGGCUUAGUGCCUUCGGGAACCGUGAGACAGGUGCUGCAUGGCUGUCGUCAGCUCGUGUUGUGAAAUGUUGGGUUAAGUCCCGCAACGAGCGCAACCCUUAUCCUUUGUCGCCAGCACGUAAUGGUGGGAACUCAAAGGAGACUGCCGGUGAUAAACCGGAGGAAGGUGGGGAUGACGUCAAGUCAUCAUGGCCCUUACGAGUAGGGCUACACACGUGCUACAAUGGCAUAUACAAAGAGAAGCGAACUCGCGAGAGCAAGCGGACCUCAUAAAGUAUGUCGUAGUCCGGAUUGGAGUCUGCAACUCGACUCCAUGAAGUCGGAAUCGCUAGUAAUCGUAGAUCAGAAUGCUACGGUGAAUACGUUCCCGGGCCUUGUACACACCGCCCGUCACACCAUGGGAGUGGGUUGCAAAAGAAGUAGGUAGCUUAACCUUCGGGAGGGCGCUUACCACUUUGUGAUUCAUGA
rnacentral:rRNA from 1 species